UGUCAGAUCUUGUUAUAGAUG
rnacentral:misc_RNA from 1 species